AUACGGGGGGAGCAAGCGUUGUUCGGAUUUACUGGGCGUAAAGGGCGGGUAGGCGGCACUGCAAGUCGACUGUGAAAUCUCCGAGCUUAACUCGGAAAGGUCAGCCGAUACUGCGGGGCUAGAGUGCAGAAGGGGCAACUGGAAUUCUCGGUGUAGCGGUGAAAUGCGUAGAUAUCGAGAGGAACACCUGCGGCGAAGGCGGGUUGCUGGGCUGACACUGACGCUGAACUGCGAAAGCUAGGGGAGCGAACG
rnacentral:rRNA from 1 species